GGAAAAAUGGCUGAGUGGCUGAAGGCGUUUGCUUGCUAAGCAAUUGUGUUGUUACAAACACCACAGGUUCGAAUCCUGUUUUUUCCGCAAACCCCCAC
rnacentral:tRNA from 1 species